UACGUAGGGGGCGAGCGUUGUCCGGAGUUACUGGGCGUAAAGCGCACGCAGGCGGUCUGCUAAGUUUGGAGUGACAGUUGGUGGCUUAACUGCCAAAGUGCUUCGAAAACUGACAGACUUGAGGGCUUCAGAGGGACACGGAAUUCCGGGUGGAGUGGUGAAAUGCGUAGAGAUCCGGAGGAACACCGCAGGCGAAGGCAGUGUCCUGGCGCGUACCUGACGCUGAGGUGCGAAAGCUAGGGGAGCGAACGGG
rnacentral:rRNA from 1 species